AAAGACAGUUGACAAAGAAGCUUUCACACACUAUUUUGGCAGUUUAUGUGGGAAUCAAGAGGAAGCAAUUAAAAGUAAACUGAAACCAAAUAAGCAAAAGUAGAAAAUAGUUAGAGCCAAGAAGCUCACAAUAUUCUUGUAAUGUGUUGAACCUUUAAUAUGAUUAUGGUUAUUUAAACUUCAAUUUUUCAUACAGUUCUCGCGGCACAUAAAUAAUAGAGCAUUCACUCAAGUUACAGCAAAGAACUAUUACAAUAUUCUCGACCUUAUCCACCAUAACCAAUUGGAUCGUGAAAGAGAAAGGGAAGGAACAACUACCUUUUUUAAGUCGAGACAACAUAGUUAUCUUCCUAUUGUCAGAUAAAGCCCCUCUAUUUAAAUAAUCUAUCUUUCAAAGAGGCUAAAAAUAUAAGGCAAAGCUGUUGGCCAUCGUUUCUUUCUGAAAUAAAGAUUCUCAUAGAUACUAGUACUGGUCGUAUAGCAUGAAUAUCCACCACCUCAUUGCUCAAAUUGAAACGAUUUCAUGUCCAUAUCAGACAACGCAGCCUUGCAUCUUCCGGCUAUUUAACAAAGAGGCAUCAGAUGGAAGAAAAAAAAGGGAGUAUCUUUCACAGAGGAGAGCCAAAAGAGAGAUCUUUAACCCACCCAG
rnacentral:lncRNA from 1 species